rnacentral:rRNA from 1 species
CUACGGGCUGCUGCAGGCGCGAAAACUUUACAAUGCACGCAAGUGUGAUAAGGGGAUCCCAAGUGCUCAAGCAUUGCUUGGGCUUUUGCUAAGUGUAAAUAGCUUGGCGAAUAAGUGGUGGGUAAGACUGGUGCCAGCCGCCGCGGUAACACCAGCGCCACAAGUGGCAAUCGCGUUUAUUGGGCCUAAAGCGUCCGUAGCAGGUUUUGUAAAUCUCUUGUGAAAUUGCCAGGCUUAACUUGGCAGUGUGCAGGGGAAACUGCAAGGCUUGAGACCGGGAAGGGUUAGAGGUAUUCCUGAGGGAGCGGUAAAAUGCUAUAAUCUCAGGAGGACCACCUGUGGCGAAGGCGUCUAACUGGAACGGAUCUGACUGUGAGGGACGAAAGCUAGGGGAGCAAACCGGAUUAGAUACCCGAGUAGUC